CACUGGUCAGGAGCUGAUGUCGCUUUCCUGACGAGGCCAUGGCAGGCCGAAACCAGUU
rnacentral:hammerhead_ribozyme from 1 species